rnacentral:rRNA from 1 species
GUGCCAGCCGCCGCGGUAAUACGUAGGUGGCAAGCGUUAUCCGGAAUUAUUGGGCGUAAAGCGCGCGUAGGCGGUUUUUUAAGUCUGAUGUGAAAGCCCACGGCUCAACCGUGGAGGGUCAUUGGAAACUGGAAAACUUGAGUGCAGAAGAGGAAAGUGGAAUUCCAUGUGUAGCGGUGAAAUGCGCAGAGAUAUGGAGGAACACCAGUGGCGAAGGCGACUUUGCCGGUCUGUAACUGACGCUGAUGUGCGAAAGCGUGGGGAUCAAACAGG